rnacentral:rRNA from 1 species
UUAAGCGACUAAGCGUACACGGUGGAUGCCCUGGCAGUCAGAGGCGAUGAAGGGCGUGCUAAUCUGCGAUAAGCGCCGGUAAGGUGAUAUGAACCGUUAUAACCGGCGAUACCCGAAUGGGGAAACCCAGUGUGAUUCGUCACACUAUCAUUAACUGAAUCCAUAGGUUAAUGAGGCGAACCGGGGGAACUGAAACAUCUAAGUACCCCGAGGAAAAGAAAUCAACCGAGAUUCCCCCAGUAGCGGCGAGCGAACGGGGAGGAGCCCAGAGCCUGAAUCAGCAUGUGUGUUAGUGGAAGCGUCUGGAAAGUCGCGCGAUACAGGGUGACAGCCCCGUACACAAAAGCGCAUGUGUUGUGAGCUCGAUGAGUAGGGCGGGACACGUGGUAUCCUGUCUGAAUAUGGGGGGACCAUCCUCCAAGGCUAAAUACUCCUGACUGACCGAUAGUGAACCAGUACCGUGAGGGAAAGGCGAAAAGAACCCCGGCGAGGGGAGUGAAAAAGAACCUGAAACCGUGUACGUACAAGCAGUGGGAGCCCCACCACCAAAGCAUUCUCUGGUGUUGAAGGCCCUGCAAAGCAGCAUCGCGGUGGCGGAGCGUCGUUUGCGACGCCCAACACACAAAACAAGCGGUGAGUGCUUUGGGGUGGGGUGACUGCGUACCUUUUGUAUAAUGGGUCAGCGACUUAUAUUCUGUAGCAAGGUUAACCGUAUAGGGGAGCCGGAGGGAAACCGAGUCUUAAUUGGGCGUUAAGUUGCAGGGUAUAGACCCGAAACCCGGUGAUCUAGCCAUGGGCAGGUUGAAGGUUGGGUAACACUAACUGGAGGACCGAACCGACUAAUGUUGAAAAAUUAGCGGAUGACCUGUGGCUGGGGGUGAAAGGCCAAUCAAACCGGGAGAUAGCUGGUUCUCCCCGAAAGCUAUUUAGGUAGCGCCUCGUGAAUUCAUCUCCGGGGGUAGAGCACUGUUUCGGCUAGGGGGCCAUCCCGGCUUACCAACCCGAUGCAAACUGCGAAUACCGGAGAAUGUUAUCACGGGAGACACACGGCGGGUGCUAACGUCCGUCGUGAAGAGGGAAACAACCCAGACCGCCAGCUAAGGUCCCAAAGUCAUGGUUAAGUGGGAAACGAUGUGGGAAGGCCCAGACAGCCAGGAUGUUGGCUUAGAAGCAGCCAUCAUUUAAAGAAAGCGUAAUAGCUCACUGGUCGAGUCGGCCUGCGCGGAAGAUGUAACGGGGCUAAACCAUGCACCGAAGCUGCGGCAGCGACACUGUGUGUUGUUGGGUAGGGGAGCGUUCUGUAAGCCUGUGAAGGUGUGUCGUGAGGCAUGCUGGAGGUAUCAGAAGUGCGAAUGCUGACAUAAGUAACGAUAAAGCGGGUGAAAAGCCCGCUCGCCGGAAGACCAAGGGUUCCUGUCCAACGUUAAUCGGGGCAGGGUGAGUCGACCCCUAAGGCGAGGCCGAAAGGCGUAGUCGAUGGGAAACGGGUUAAUAUUCCCGUACUUGGUGUUACUGCGAAGGGGGGACGGAGAAGGCUAUGUUGGCCGGGCGACGGUUGUCCCGGUUUAAGCGUGUAGGUGUGUGUUCCAGGUAAAUCCGGUUCACUUUAACACUGAGGCGUGACGACGAGGCACUACGGUGCUGAAGCAACAAAUGCCCUGCUUCCAGGAAAAGCCUCUAAGCAUCAGGUAACAUCAAAUCGUACCCCAAACCGACACAGGUGGUCAGGUAGAGAAUACCAAGGCGCUUGAGAGAACUCGGGUGAAGGAACUAGGCAAAAUGGUGCCGUAACUUCGGGAGAAGGCACGCUGACACGUAGGUGAAGUGAUUUACUCAUGGAGCUGAAGUCAGUCGAAGAUACCAGCUGGCUGCAACUGUUUAUUAAAAACACAGCACUGUGCAAACACGAAAGUGGACGUAUACGGUGUGACGCCUGCCCGGUGCCGGAAGGUUAAUUGAUGGGGUCAGCGCAAGCGAAGCUCCUGAUCGAAGCCCCGGUAAACGGCGGCCGUAACUAUAACGGUCCUAAGGUAGCGAAAUUCCUUGUCGGGUAAGUUCCGACCUGCACGAAUGGCGUAAUGAUGGCCAGGCUGUCUCCACCCGAGACUCAGUGAAAUUGAACUCGCUGUGAAGAUGCAGUGUACCCGCGGCAAGACGGAAAGACCCCGUGAACCUUUACUAUAGCUUGACACUGAACAUUGAGCCUUGAUGUGUAGGAUAGGUGGGAGGCUUUGAAGUGUGGACGCCAGUCUGCAUGGAGCCGACCUUGAAAUACCACCCUUUAAUGUUUGAUGUUCUAACGUGGACCCGUUACCCGGGUUGCGGACAGUGUCUGGUGGGUAGUUUGACUGGGGCGGUCUCCUCCUAAAGAGUAACGGAGGAGCACGAAGGUUGGCUAAUCCUGGUCGGACAUCAGGAGGUUAGUGCAAUGGCAUAAGCCAGCUUGACUGCGAGCGUGACGGCGCGAGCAGGUGCGAAAGCAGGUCAUAGUGAUCCGGUGGUUCUGAAUGGAAGGGCCAUCGCUCAACGGAUAAAAGGUACUCCGGGGAUAACAGGCUGAUACCGCCCAAGAGUUCAUAUCGACGGCGGUGUUUGGCACCUCGAUGUCGGCUCAUCACAUCCUGGGGCUGAAGUAGGUCCCAAGGGUAUGGCUGUUCGCCAUUUAAAGUGGUACGCGAGCUGGGUUUAGAACGUCGUGAGACAGUUCGGUCCCUAUCUGCCGUGGGCGCUGGAGAACUGAGGGGGGCUGCUCCUAGUACGAGAGGACCGGAGUGGACGCAUCACUGGUGUUCGGGUUGUCAUGCCAAUGGCACUGCCCGGUAGCUAAAUGCGGAAGAGAUAAGUGCUGAAAGCAUCUAAGCACGAAACUUGCCCCGAGAUGAGUUCUCCCUGAGACUUUAGGUCUCCUGAAGGAACGUUGAAGACGACGACGUUGAUAGGCCGGGUGUGUAAGCGCAGCGAUGCGUUGAGCUAACCGGUACUAAUGAACCGUGAGGCUUAACCU